AUUAAUGCAGGAGAUAAGAAAGGAGUCACACCACUUCUUGUAGCAGUUCAGCUUGCCAAACAUGAAACUGCUGUUUAUCUCGAAGAGAAAUGUGCCAGGGGUAAUGCAAAAGGUAUGAAUGGAGUCACUCCACUUCAUGUUGCAAUUCAGCAUGCCAAAAUAAAACUGUUGAGUAUCUCAUAGGGAAACAUAAUAAUUAUAAUGAAGCUAAUGAAUUUAUUUA